UACGUAGGUGGCAAGCGUUGUCCGGAUUUACUGGGCGUAAAGAGCGCGCAGGCGGUCGUUCAAGUCGCGUGUGAAAGCCCCCGGCUCAACUGGGGAGGGUCACGCGAUACUGAUCGACUCGAAGGCAGGAGAGGGUAGUGGAAUUCCCGGUGUAGUGGUGAAAUUCGUAGAUAUUCGGAGGAACACCAGUGGCGAAGGCGGCUCACUGGUCCAUUACUGACGCUGAGGUGCGAAAGCGUGGGGAGCAAACAGG
rnacentral:rRNA from 1 species